GACGAACGCUGGCGGCGUGCCUAAUACAUGCAAGUCGAACGCAGAGGGUAUACCUUGCUUUGCUGCAUGAUUUGCGAACGGGUGAGUAACGCGUAGUUAACCUUCCUGGUAGUGGGUGAUAACUGUGGGAAACGAUAGCUAAUACCGCAUAAUAGUGCAUGAUGUAUGAUAUUUGAUUAAAAUUAGCAAUUGCAUCCCUACCAGAUAGUCCUGCGUUGUAUUAGCUAGUAGGUGGGGUAACGGCUCACCAAGGCGACGAUACAUAGCCGACCUGAGAGGGUGAUCGGCCACACUGGGACUGAGACACGGCCCAGACUCCUACGGGAGGCAGCAGUAGGGAAUCUUCGGCAAUGGACGGAAGUCUGACCGAGCAACGCCGCGUGAGUGAAGAAGGUUUUCGGAUCGUAAAGCUCUGUUGUAAGAGAAGAACGGGUGUGAGAGUGGAAAGUUCACACUGUGACGGUAUCUUACCAGAAAGGGACGGCUAACUACGUG
rnacentral:rRNA from 1 species